UACAGAGGGUGCGAACGUUGCUCGGAAUUACUGGGCGUAAAGCGCGUGUAGGCGGGUCGGCAAGUCAGGCGUGAAAUCCCCAGGCUCAACCUGGGAACUGCACUUGAAACUGCCGACCUUGAGUAUCGGAGAGGGUGGCGGAAUUCCUGGUGUAGAGGUGAAAUUCGUAGAUAUCAGGAGGAACACCGGUGGCGAAGGCGGCCACCUGGACGAUUACUGACGCUGAGACGCGAAAGCGUGGGGAGCAAACAGG
rnacentral:rRNA from 1 species